rnacentral:rRNA from 1 species
ACGGGAGGCAGCAGUGGGGAAUCUUGCGCAAUGGGCGAAAGCCUGACGCAGCAACGCCGCGUGCGGGACGAAGGCCUUCGGGUUGUAAACCGCUUUCAGCAGGGAAGACACUGACGGUACCUGCAGAAGAAGCUCCGGCUAACUACGUGCCAGCAGCCGCGGUAAUACGUAGGGAGCGAGCGUUAUCCGGAUUCAUUGGGCGUAAAGCGCGCGUAGGCGGCUUGCCAAGCGGGAUGUCAAAGCCCGGGGCUCAACCCCGGCCCGCAUCCCGAACUGGCAGGCUUGAGUCUGGUAGGGGAAGGCGGAAUUCCCAGUGUAGCGGUGAAAUGCGCAGAUAUUGGGAAGAACACCGGUGGCGAAGGCGGCCUUCUGGGCCACGACUGACGCUGAGACGCGAAAGCUAGGGGAGCGAACAGGAUUAGAUACCCUGGUA